rnacentral:lncRNA from 1 species
AGAGGCUAGCAUAAAUAGAUGUAAGACAGGAGGAAGGAUCAUCAAAGAAUUACCUAGCCGUCUUCCCUGUGGGAAGCCGGAACCUGAGUUGGUCUGUUUCCCCACGCCGUGAACACGGCGUCCCGUCGUCCCUCUCGCCCAGUCCCUUGCCAACCACCAGCAGUACAUCGGUAUAGCUUGAGGAAGAUCCCCGGUAGGAAUAGAAAUCCUAUCAACCUGGUAUCAACUAUGUCCAGCGAUCCUCCAUUCACCAGCCACCCACCGCCACCAUCGCCUUCCACUGUUCCAGGCCGCCCACCACCAUCUCUCCACCAGCUUCCACCGCACCUACACCAAUACUCACGCUGGAAUCUGUGGCCACAGCAGUCCACGAUCUGUCCCGGUCAAUGAAACCCAUGCAGGAUUUUCUCCUGAGAUCCAUUGAAAGUCGCCUAGAGGGGGGGUGAAUAGGCAAAUCUGAAAUUUAUAAAGUUUAAGCACAACUACAAGCCGGUGUUAGCGUUAGAAAUAUAAACGAGUCCAAAAGAGAGGGCGAAAAUAAAUCACGAGCAAAUAAGAGCGGAUGACACAGUGAUUUGUUUUACCGAGGUUCGGUUCUUGCAAACCUACUCCCCGUUGAGGUGGUCACAAAGACCGGGUCUCUUUCAACCCUUUCCCUCUCUCAAACGGUCACUUAGACUGAGUGAGCUUCUCUUCUCAAUCAAACGGGACACUAAGUUCCCACAAGGACCACCACACAAUUGGUGUCUCUUGCCUUGAUUACAAUUGAGUUGGAAACAAGAAGGAAGGAAGAAGAAAAGCAAUCCAAGCGCAAGAGCUCAAAUGAACACAAAUGUCUCUCUCUAGUCACUAAUUUGUUUGGAGUGAUUCUGGACUUGGGAGAGGAUUUGAUCUCUUUGAUUGUGUCUUUGAAUGAAGUUUAGAGCUCUUGUAUGAGGUUUGAUGGCUGAAAACUUGGAUGCAUUGAAGUGUGGUGGUUGGGGGGUAUUUAUAGCCACAACCACCAAAAGAACCGUUGGUGAGGGCUGCUGUCGUAUGGCGUACCGGACACUGUCCAGUGCGCCAGCCACGUCACCAUGCCGUUGGGUUCUGACCGUUGGAGCUUCUGACAACUGGGCCACCGGACAGUCCGGUGGUGCACCGGACAGUCACUGUUCACUGUCCGGUGCGCCUUCUGACGCCUGCUCUGACUUCUGCGCGCGCAGUGAACACUGUUCACUGUUCCUAUACCGUUGCAGACGACCAUUGGCGCCUGGAGCCGUUGCUCCGCUUGGUACACCGGAUAGUCCGGUGCUACACCGGACAGUCCGGUGAAUUAUAGCGGAGCGGUCUCCCGAAUUCCCGAAGGUGGCAAGUUCGGAGUGGAACUCCCUGGUGCACCGGACACUAUCCGGUGGCACACCGGACAGUCCGGUGCGCCAGACCAGGGCUGCCUUUGGGUUGUCUUUUGCUCUCUUUAUUUGAACCCUUUCUUGGUCUUUUUAUUGGUUUGUUGUGAACCUUUGACACAUGUAAAACUUAUAAUCUAGAGCAAACUAGUUAGUCCAAUUGUUUGUGUUAGGCAAUUCAACCACCAAAAUCAAUUAGGAAAAGGUGUAAGCCUAUUUCCCUUUCAAUCUCCCCCUUUUUGGUGAUUGAUGCCAACACAAACCAAAGCAAAUAUAUAAGUGCAGAAUUGAACUAGUUUGCAUAAUGUAAGUGCAAAGGUUACUUGAAGUUAAACCAAUAUACAUUUCAUAAGAUAUGCAUGGAUGCUUCCUUCUUAUUUAAAAUUUUGGACCACGCUUGCACCACUUGUUUUGUUUUGCAAAGUUUUGGAAAUUCUUUUUCAAAAUCUUUUGCAAAUAGUCAAAGGUAAAUUGAAUAAGAUUUUGAGAAGCAUUUUCAAGAUUUGAACUCCCCCCUGUUUCAAAUGCUUUUCCUUUGACUAAACAAAACUCUCUCUCAAUGAAAUUCUCCUCUUAGUGUUCAAGAGGGUUUUAGAUAUUAAUUUUGGAGAGGGUAUACCAAUUUGAAAUUAUAUCACAAUUUGAAAAGUCUUUUAAAAAAACACUUCUUUAAUACAAAUUGAAAGACUACAAAUUUUUUAAAUUGGUGGUGGUGCGGUCCUUUUGCUUUGGGCUAAUACUUUCUCCCCCUUUGGCAUGAAUCGCCAAAAAUGGAUACUUGUGAGUGAAAUAUAAGCCCUUGGUCUUUCUUUCCCUUUGGUAAAUAAAAUAAGAGUGAAGAUUAUACCACAUUGGAGAGCGAUGCGGAGUGUCGGCGAAGGAUGAAUAAUUCAAUGGAGUGGAGUGGAAGCCUUGUCUUCGCCGAGGACUCCAUUUCCCUUUCAAUCUAUGACUUAGCAUGUAAUUCACUUGAAAACCACAUUAGUCAUAGCACAUGAAAGAGAGAUGAUCAAAGGUAUAGAAAUGAGCUAUGUGUGUAAAAUCUUAAUCAAAAUUCCUAGAAUCAAGAAUAUUUAGCUCAUGCCUAAGUUUGGUAAAUGUUUUCUCAUCUAAUGGCUUGGUAAAGAUAUCGACUAAUUGUUCUUUGGUGUUAAUAUAAGCAAUCUCGAUAUCCCCCCUUUGUUGGUGAUCCCUAAAAAAGUGAUACCGAAUGGCUAUGUGCUUAGUGCGGCUGUGUUCAACGGGAUUAUCCGCCAUGCGGAUUGCACUCUCAUUAUCACAUAGGAGAGGGACUUUAGUUAAUUUGUAACCAUAGUCCCUAAGGGUUUGCCUCAUCUAAAGCAAUUGCGCAACAAUGGCCUGCAUCAAUGUACUCGACUUCGACGGUAGAAAGAGCUAUAGAAUUUUGCUUCUUUGAAGCACAAGACACCAGAGAUCUUCCCAAGAACUGGCAAGUCCCUGAUGUGCUCUUUUUAUCAAUUUUACACCCUACCCAAUCAGCACCUGAAUAUCCAAUUAAAUCAAAAGUGGAACCCCUGGGGUACCAAAGGCCAAACUUAGGAGUAUAAACUAAAUAUCUCAAGAUUCGUUUCACGGCCCCAAGGUGAACUUCCUUAGAAUCGGCUUGGAAUCUUGCACACAUGCAUACGGAAAGCAUAAUAUCCGGUCGAGAUGCACAUAAAUAGAGUAAAGAUCCUAUCAUCGACCAGUAUACCUUUUGAUCUACGAAUUUACCUCCCGUGUCGAGGUCGAGAUGCCCAUUAGUUCCCAUGGGUGUCUUGAUGGGCUUGGCAUCCUUCAUUCCAAACUUGGUAAGAAUGUCUUGAAUGUACUUCGUUUGGCUAAUGAAGGUGCCCUCUUGGAGUUGUUUGACUUGAAAUCCUAGAAAAUACUUCAACUCCCCCAUCAUAGACAUCUCGAAUUUUUGAAUCAUGAUCCUACUAAACUCUUCAUAAGUAGAUUGACCCAAAUAUGAUAUCAUCAACAUAAAUUUGGCAUACAAACAAAUCAUUUGCAAUUGUUUUAGUAAAGAGAGUAGGAUCGGCUUUUCCGACUUUGAAGUCAUUAGAAAUAAGAAAAUCUCUUAGGCAUUCAUACCAUGCUCUUGGGGCUUGCUUGAGCCCAUAAAGCGCCUUAGAGAGUUUAUAUACAUGGUUAGGGUACUCACUAUCUUCAAAGCCGGGAGGUUGCUCUACAUAGACCUCCUCCUUGAUUGAUCCAUUGAGGAAGGCACUUUUCACGUCUAUUUGGUAAAGCUUAAAGCCAUGGUAAGUAGCAUAGGCAAGUAAUAUACGAAUUGACUCAAGCCUAGCUACGGUGUAACACCACAAAAGCCAUCAAUUAAAAAUGAAUUUCGGAAUUUAAAAAAAAAGAAAAAAAAAUUACCAAAAAUAUUUAUAAAUGAAGUACUUAUUUUUAGACUAAUAAUUACUAUAAUACUUAAUUAUUAUUUAAUUACUAGUACUUCUUUUUAAAAUGGAUUGAUAUUUAAACAUCCGAUAAGAAAUCACGUGCAUGCAAAGAAAAACGAUGCAAAUAAAUAGUUAAACACUAAGAAAAAUUUAUUACCCUAAUUAAUAUAAUGUCUAAAUUUAUUAUUUUAAUUGAUGGCUUUUAUGGUGUUACAAACCUACCCCUCUUAAAAAGAAUCUCGUCCUCGAGAUUAAGAAACUUCCGAGAAUAACUGGGGAAAUUCUGCUCUGAGUUCAUCUUCUCUUUCCCAAGUAGCCUCAUCUUCCGAAUGAUGACUCCACUGAACUUUGCACAUGUUAAUGACUUUACUCCGUGUAAUUCUGCGAGAUGUUUCCAAAAUUCUGACCGGGUACUCUGAAUAGGUCAAAUCCUCAUUGACAUUCAGUUCUUCCAUGGGUAGCUGUUCCUCUGGUACUCUCAAGCACUUCUUGAGUUGUGAUACGUGAAAUACGUCAUGCACAUCUGAUAAUCUAUCGGGUAGCUCUAACUGAUAGGCUACUUCGCCUUUUCUUUCCAAAAUCUUGAAUGGGCCAAUAUAGCGAGGUGAUAAUUUUCCUUUAACCUUAAACCUUUUCAUUCCUCUCAUCGGUGAAACUUUAAGGUAGACAAAGUCUCCUACUUCAAACAUCAACUCCCUUCUUCUAUUAUCAGCAUAGCUCUUCUGUCUUGACUGUGCUGUCUUCAAAUUUUCUCUAAUAAUCUGUACUUGUUUUUCGGCUUCUUGGAGUAUUUCUGGACCAAAUACUUGACUUUCUCCGGUCUGAUUCCAAUAAAGCGGUGUUCUACACUUUCGUCCAUAUAGUGCUUCAAACGGUGCCAUUUUGAGGCUGGCUUGAUAACUGUUGUUAUACGAAAAUUCUGCAUAAGGCAAACUUUUAUCCCAGCUUCUACCAUGCUUUAGAGCGCAAGCUCUUAGCAUAUCUUCCAAGACUUGGUUUGUUCUUUCCGUUUGCCCAUCCGUUUGCGGAUGAUAAGCUGAACUAAAAUUUAGCCUGGUAUCCAUGGACUCAUGAAGUCUUUUCCAAAAGCGCGAGGUAAACUGGGUUCCUCGAUCUGAUACGAUCUUCUUCGGUACUCCAUGCAGACAAACAAUCCUCGACAUGUAUAAAUCUGCUAACUGGGCUCCCGAGUAAGUUGUCUUUACAGGUAUAAAGUGUGCCACUUUAGUUAACCUGUCCACUAUGACCCAUAUUGAAUCAUAGCCAUCUCGAGUACGGGGUAGUCCAACUAUGAAAUCCAUACUGAUUUCUUCCCAUUUCCAUUCCGGUACCUUGAGAGGUUGUAGCAAUCCUGCUGGUCUUUGGUGUUCAGCUUUAACUCGCUGACACACGUCACAUAAUGCAACAUGAGUAGCAACAUCUCUUUUCAAUCCGUACCACCAAUACUUUUCCUUAAGGUCCUGGUACAUCUUGGUACUUCCAGGGUGAAUAGAGUAAGCUGAAUCAUGAGCUUCUCUCAAAAUAAGUUGGCGUAAGUGUUCGAUUUCUGGUACACAGAUUCUCUUCUUAAACCAUAAUGUGCCUUGUUCAUCUUCCGUGAAAUUUGGGGCUUUACCCAUACUAAUCAAAGUUUUAAUUUCCUUAAUCUUCUCAUCGGACUCUUGUCCUUUACGAAUCUCUUCUUCCAAAGUAGAUUCAACUUCCAUCACCGUUGCUUCUACAUUAUUGAGAAAUCCAAGGUUGAGUCGUUCCAUUUCCCAGCACAAUUCUUGUGACCUCAAAUGAGUAGUGAUGUUGUUCACUUGACCCUUACGGCUCAAAGCAUCAGCUACUACAUUUGCCUUUCCGGGGUGAUAUUGUAUUUCCAAAUCAUAAUCUUUAAUCAACUCAAGCCAUCUUCUCUGUCUGAGGUUGAGUUCUUUCUGAGUGAAUAUAUAUUUCAAGCUUUUAUGAUCCGUGAAGAUUUUGCACUUGUUUCCAAUCAUAUAGUGCCUCCAAAUCUUCAAAGCAUGCACUACGGCAGCUAGUUCCAAAUCAUGCGUAGGAUAAUUCUUCUCAUGUUUCCUUAACUGUCUUGAGGCAUAAGCAAUCACCUUUCCUUCUUGCAUUAGCACACAUCCGAGUCCAAGGUGUGAUGCAUCGCAAUACACAUCAAAUCCCUUGUGGAUGUCUGGCAUUACCAGUAUUGGUGCAGUGGUUAACCUCUUCUUGAGUUCUUCAAAACAAUUCUGGCAAGCUUCAUCCCAUUUGAACUCUUUGCCUUUCUCCAGUAGAGAGGUAAGUGGUUUCACCAACUUGGAAAAACCUUCAAUAAAUCUUCUAUAGUAUCCUGCCAAUCCAAGAAAAUUUCUGAUCUUGGACGCAUCCUUUGGUUGCUUCCAAUUUAGUAUCUCACUUAUCUUUCCUGGGUCCACUUUAAUUCCACCAUCGGUAACGAUAUGCCCUAAGAAAGCAACUUCCUUCAACCAAAAAUCACACUUAGAGAACUUUGCGUACAGUUGGUUGUCACGAAGUUUUUGUAGGACUAGCCUUAGAUGAUCUUCGUGUGUUUCUUCAUUCGGAGAAUAUAUCAGUAUGUCGUCAAUGAAUACGACCACAAACUGAUCCAGAUAUUCCAUGAAUACUUUAUUCAUCAAGUUCAUGAAGUAUGCUGGUGCAUUAGUCAGUCCAAACGACAUGACCAAAAACUCAUAUAAUCCAUAUCUCGUCGUGAAGGCUGUCUUCGGUACAUCUUCUGCUCGAAUCUUUAACUGAUGAUAUCCCGAUCUCAGAUCUAUCUUCGAGAAUAUCUUAGCUCCCUUCAUUUGAUCGAAUAAAUCUUCAAUUCGAGGUAACGGGUAUUUAUUCUUGAUGGUUACUUCAUUCAAACUUCUAUAAUCAACACACAUUCUCCUCGAACCAUCUUUCUUGUUCACAAAUAGCACUGGGGCUCCCCAAGGGGAUGAACUUGGGCGAAUGAAACCUUUUUCUAGUAAUUCUUAUAUUUGUUUCUUCAAUUCUACUAAAUCUUUAACAUCCAUUCUAUAUGGUCUUUUCGAGAUAGGUGCGGUUCCGGGUACUAGUUCAAUAGAAAACUCUAUAUCACGGUCAGGUGGCAUACCUGGCAAUUCCUCCGGAAAUACGUCUGGGUAUUCGCACACUACUUUGAUAUUUUCCAAGGGCUUUUCUUCCAAGUGAUUGAUCAUUGUCUUCCCUUUUUCAUCUGUUGACUUGUCUAUGUUAACUUGGAUUCUUUCACCUUGAGGACUUGUCAACAUAAUUGUUCCGCUGACACACUGUAUCACUCCAUCACAACUUUUCAACCAGUUGCAUCCAAGAAUCACAUCAAUACCGUUGGAUCCUAGGACCACUGGGUCGACUGUAAAAUCUAUUCCUUGAAUCUUGAUAUUAACAUGAGGGCAUGAGUGUGUGGCCUUCAUGUCACCUCCCGGUGAACUAAUGUGUAAUAUCCUCUUCAGUGGGUACUUAGGUAUGUUAUGUUUUUCCACGAAUGACUCAGUUAUAAAUGACUCAGUGGGAACUAAUGUGUAAUAUCCUCUUCAAAUGAAUGCGAUGCUGCAGAACACGAGGUUCAGGCACCCACUGAAGAGGAUCGCAUUCAUUUAUAACUGAGUCAUUCGUGGAAAAACAUAACAUACCUAAGUACCCACUGAAGAGGAUAUUACACAUUAGUUCACCGGGAGGUGACAUGAAGGCCACACACUCAUGCCCUCAUGUUAAUAUCAAGAUUCAAGGAAUAGAUUUUACAGUCGACCCAGUGGUCCUAGGAUCCAACGGUAUUGAUGUGAUUCUUGGAUGCAACUGGUUGAAAAGUUGUGAUGGAGUGAUACAGUGUGCCAGCGGAACAAUUAUGUUGACAAGUCCUCAAGGUGAAAGAAUCCAAGUUAACAUAGACAAGUCAACAGAUGAAAAAGGGAAGACAAUGAUCAAUCACUUGGAAGAAAAGCCCUUGGAAAAUAUCAAAGUAGUGUGCGAAUACCCAGACGUAUUUCCGGAGGAAUUGCCAGGUAUGCCACCUGACCGUGAUAUAGAGUUUUCUAUUGAACUAGUACCCGGAACCGCACCUAUCUCGAAAAGACCAUAUAGAAUGGAUGUUAAAGAUUUAGUAGAAUUGAAGAAACAAAUAGAAGAAUUACUAGAAAAAGGUUUCAUUCGCCCAAGUUCAUCCCCUUGGGGAGCCCCAGUGCUAUUUGUGAACAAGAAAGAUGGUUCGAGGAGAAUGUGUGUUGAUUAUAGAAGUUUGAAUGAAGUAACCAUCAAGAAUAAAUACACGUUACCUCGAAUUGAAGAUUUAUUCGAUCAAAUGAAGGGAGCUAAGAUAUUCUCGAAGAUAGAUCUGAGAUCGGGAUAUCAUCAGUUAAAGAUUCGAGCAGAAGAUGUACCGAAGACAGCCUUCACGACGAGAUAUGGAUUAUAUGAGUUUUUGGUCAUGUCGUUUGGACUGACUAAUGCACCAGCAUACUUCAUGAACUUGAUGAAUAAAGUAUUCAUGGAAUAUCUAGAUCAGUUUGUGGUCGUAUUCAUUGACGACAUACUGAUAUAUUCUCCGAAUGAAGAAACACACGAAGAUCAUCUAAGGCUAGUCCUACAAAAACUUCGUGACAACCAACUGUACGCAAAGUUCUCUAAGUGUGAUUUUUGGUUGAAGGAAGUUGCUUUCUUAGGGCAUAUCGUUACCGAUGGUGGAAUUAAAGUGGACCCAGGAAAGAUAAGUGAGAUACUAAAUUGGAAGCAACCAAAGGAUGCGUCCAAGAUCAGAAGUUUUCUUGGAUUGGCAGGAUACUAUAGAAGAUUUAUUGAAGGUUUUUCCAAGUUAGUGAAACCACUUACCUCUCUACUGGAGAAAGGCAAAGAGUUCAAAUGGGAUGAAGCUUGCCAGAAUUGUUUUGAAGAACUCAAGAAGAGGUUAACCACUGCACCAAUACUGGUAAUGCCAGACAUCCACAAGGGAUUUGAUGUGUUUUGCGAUGCAUCACACCUUGGACUCGGAUGUGUGCUAAUGCAAGAAGGAAAGGUGAUUGCUUAUGCCUCAAGACAGUUAAGGAAACAUGAGAAGAAUUAUCCUACGCAUGAUUUGGAACUAGCUACCGUAGUGCAUGCUUUGAAGAUUUGGAGGCACUAUAUGAUUGGAAACAAGUGCAAAAUCUUCACGGAUCAUAAAAGCUUGAAAUAUAUAUUCACUCAGAAAGAACUCAACCUCAGACAGAGAAGAUGGCUUGAGUUGAUUAAAGAUUAUGAUUUGGAAAUACAAUAUCACCCCGGAAAGGCAAAUGUAGUAGCUGAUGCUUUGAGCCGUAAGGGUCAAGUGAACAACAUCACUACUCAUUUGAGGUCACAAGAAUUGUGCUGGGAAAUGGAACGACUCAACCUUGGAUUUCUCAAUAAUGUAGAAGCAACGGUGAUGGAAGUUGAAUCUACUUUGGAAGAAGAGAUUCGUAAAGGACAAGAGUCCGAUGAGAAGAUUAAGGAAAUUAAAACUUUGAUUAGUAUGGGUAAAGCCCCAAAUUUCACGGAAGAUGAACAAGGCACAAUAUGGUUUAAGAAGAGAAUCUGUGUACCAGAAAUCGAACACUUACGCCAACUUAUUUUGAGAGAAGCUCAUGAUUCAGCUUACUCUAUUCACCCUGGAAGUACCAAGAUGUACCAGGACCUUAAGGAAAAGUAUUGGUGGUACGGAUUGAAAAGAGAUGUUGCUACUCAUGUUGCAUUAUGUGACGUGUGUCAGCGAGUUAAAGCUGAACACCAAAGACCAGCAGGAUUGCUACAACCUCUCAAGGUACCGGAAUGGAAAUGGGAAGAAAUCAGUAUGGAUUUCAUAGUUGGACUACCCCGUACUCGAGAUGGCUAUGAUUCAAUAUGGGUCAUAGUGGACAGGUUAACUAAAGUGGCACACUUUAUACCUGUAAAGACAACUUACUCGGGAGCCCAGUUAGCAGAUUUAUACAUGUCGAGGAUUGUUUGUCUGCAUGGAGUACCGAAGAAGAUCGUAUCAGAUCGAGGAACCCAGUUUACCUCGCGCUUUUGGAAAAGACUUCAUGAGUCCAUGGAUACCAGGCUAAAUUUUAGUUCAGCUUAUCAUCCGCAAACGGAUGGGCAAACGGAAAGAACAAACCAAGUCUUGGAAGAUAUGCUAAGAGCUUGCGCUCUAAAGCAUGGUAGAAGCUGGGAUAAAAGUUUGCCUUAUGCAGAAUUUUCGUAUAACAACAGUUAUCAAGCCAGCCUCAAAAUGGCACCGUUUGAAGCACUAUAUGGACGAAAGUGUAGAACGCCGCUUUAUUGGAAUCAGACCGGAGAAAGUCAAGUAUUUGGUCCAGAAAUACUCCAAGAAGCCGAAAAACAAGUACAGAUUAUUAGAGAAAAUUUGAAGACAGCACAGUCAAGACAGAAGAGCUAUGCUGAUAAUAGAAGAAGAGAGUUGAUGUUUGAAGUAGGAGACUUUGCCUACCUUAAAGUUUCACCGAUGAGAGGAAUGAAAAGGUUUAAGGUUAAAGGAAAAUUAUCACCUCGCUAUAUUGGCCCAUUCAAGAUUUUGGAAAGAAAAGGCGAAGUAGCCUAUCAGUUAGAGCUACCCGAUAGAUUAUCAGAUGUGCAUGACGUAUUUCACGUAUCACAACUCAAGAAGUGCUUGAGAGUACCAGAGGAACAGCUACCCAUGGAAGAACUGAAUGUCAAUGAGGAUUUGACCUAUUCAGAGUACCCGGUCAGAAUUUUGGAAACAUCUCGCAGAAUUACACGGAGUAAAGUCAUUAACAUGUGCAAAGUUCAGUGGAGUCAUCAUUCGGAAGAUGAGGCUACUUGGGAAAGAGAAGAUGAACUCAGAGCAGAAUUUCCCCAGUUAUUCUCGGAAGUUUCUUAAUCUCGAGGACGAGAUUCUUUUUAAGAGGGGUAGGUUUGUAACACCAUAAAAGCCAUCAAUUAAAAUAAUAAAUUUAGACAUUAUAUUAAUUAGGGUAAUAAAUUUUUCUUAGUGUUUAACUAUUUAUUUGCAUCGUUUUUCUUUGCAUGCACGUGAUUUCUUAUCGGAUGUUUAAAUAUCAAUCCAUUUUAAAAAGAAGUACUAGUAAUUAAAUAAUAAUUAAGUAUUAUAGUAAUUAUUAGUCUAAAAAUAAGUACUUCAUUUAUAAAUAUUUUUGGUAAUUUUUUUUUUGAUUUUUAGAGUUCUUUAAAAAUGAAUUUCGGAAUUUAAAAAAAAACCAAAUCCUACACUAACCGGCCCACUAGGGGCCCAUGCCCCAAACCCUAGCGAGCACCGCACGCCGCGCGCACGCUGGCAAAGGCCAGGCAGCCGCCGCCGCCUCCCAGCUCUCCCUCUCUCUAUUCUCUCUCUCUCUCCUCUCAUCUCCCUCAUCUCUCUGCUCUUUCUCUCACACGCGCACGCACAGGAUCGAGCCCCAGCCGCCACCCGCGCGCGAGCAGCCCGGCCGCCGAGCCGCGGCACCGCGCAAGCCCGCUCUGCGCGCCGUGCGCACUCCCUGGCCAAGCCGCGCGAGCCGCGCCAGCCCUGCGCAAGCAGCGCGCUGCCGCGCCAGCCGCCGCGCCUGCGCGCGAGCCCAGGCGACCGAGCACCACCGCGCCGAGCGCACCCCGUCGCACGACCCCGAAGCCCAACGUCCAUCGCGCCAUGAAUGUCCCGCGUCCGUUACUCCCUAUUACUCUCUCCCUCCCUCCAUUGACGUCGUGGAAGAAACGGACCAUCAAUGGCGCCAUGAAGACCGACGGCGCCCCAUUGAAGAGACCGGUCGUCCCUCUCUCCCCUGGCCGACCCUUCAUCUACUUCCCUCUCUCUAUAAAAGGCAGCAGAGCCUCUCUCUCCCAUCCUCCCAACCCAAGCUCAUCCCAUCUCUCUAGCUCGCCAGUGCACUGUUCGACGCCGUCGUUAGUCGCCGUUCGUCGCCGGAGUUCGCCGCUCGUUGCCGGAGUCCGUGGAGUUCGCCGGAGUGUGCCGUCGUCGCCGGAGUUCACCGGAGCCACGCACUCGCUGUUCGUAGUCGAGCCCCGCACUCCGUCCGGCCGAAACCCGUCGAUCCGUCCCCGUCACACGCACGAACCCGAGGUUGUUGGCGACCCAGAUUUAUUUUAUGUAUUUUAUAAAGUGCUUUUGAUUCGAUUCAUGUGUUGUAUAGUUUGUUUGUUGUAAUAUGAACACAUGUGAUUCCGAUUUAUGUAUUUGUGUGCGCUAUGGAAUUUGUUAGAAAUAUGCGAUUAGUAGUGCACCGUGUUAUUUCAUGUUAAUCGACGCGUUGAAUUUUGGAUUAGGAAUAUGACAACAUUUAGUAGUCACACGUUGGCGAUAAAAAUGCUAGAUAGGAAUUUUUGUAGUUAAAUUUGGUCACAAUAAAUUUUAGAAACUACUUGGAGAAUUAUAGGUGCAUUUUUGAUGGAUUAGAAAAUGGUAUGGAACUCAUGUCAUUUGAUUAAUAUAGGAUUUUAGAUGAUUUAUCUAAUUAUUUUAUUGGCAUAUUUUUUUAUAAAGAAAGGAGAAAAUAUCAUUGGUAGAUGGCAAAAUAGGUUUUUGCUAGUCAAAUAAACAUGUUCACAGAUUUAGAACUUAAAAUUGUUAGAGUACUAGUUUAUGUCAAAUAACCUCGCUUGUGUUAGAAAAUGUUCAAUUAGUAGUUUAUGUAGAUUUUUAGAAUAUUAAUUCUUGCUAUACUAACUAAUUUGAGUUAGAAUGAAUAAAAGGUAUUAAUUUAUUUAUUAGUAUUAAAAGUUAAUAAGUAUUAUUUAAUUUCAUUGAUGGUGUUAAAAUAAAUUAAUAUUAGUUAAAAUUAUAUUUAUUGCACCCACUCAUAAAUUCACCAUUAGGAUUCGCAUUAAUAGCUAUAAUUAAAUUAAUAAGUAUUUACGUGAUUAGUACGUAAUUAAAAUAUGAUUAGUGCGACGUGUUAAAGUGACGUAUUGGUGUAUGUUUAUGAAUGGUGCAUGUUUAUUUAUUGGUGUAUGUUUUAUUUUUGUAUGUGCGCUAUGCGACCCUAUUAGAAGCGGAUUGUGCGGUAGGAGAACCAAUUUCGUUCGAGGACGAUCCGCAGGACUCGCUUGAGCAAGGCAAGUGGAUUCUCCCUCUGCAUAUUCUGUUUGUACCUAUUCAUUGCAUACAAUAAUGUUUACUUUUUGAUAUACUGCAUAAUUUGUUGGGUUAUACCUAAUUAAGGAUUUCCUAGAUUUACUACCUGUAUUCCUUGUUUAACCUGGGGAAAUAAUUAAGCUGUGCAAGAUUUAUGCUACCGCUCAACUUAAUGGUUCCUAAUGUCACUCAUUAAUUGGUUUUAAUGUUCCAAAAAUGUUAAUUUGCAAUUAUGACAUUAACCCGAUGGUUAAAGAUAACUUUAUUACAAGUUAAUUGGAACAUGGAGUGACCACCCAGGAUAACAGUGCAACCACGAGUGCUAUCAUGACUCUGGCUUUGGUAAAUAGCUCUAUAUGCUUAGUGCCUAGCAACCUUACCUGAACGAUGGGCAAGAGGGGGAGCGGUAGGUGCUGGCAGCCCACGUUAACAUGGGGUCGUAUUCUUGGCUAAGGUACUUCACCCAGGGGGCCACCACCAUCGUCUUAGAAACCUUAGCGAGUUGCUUUGUAUUAAGUGUGUUUUGUGAAAACCUCAUAAUGGAUCUCUAGCCAUUCACCUCGGCAGUGUCUAAGGGUCCGAUCAACCCGGGCUAGAUGGGAUACAUGACUUGUGGGUAAAGUUGUACCACCUCUGCAGAGUGUAAAACUGAUAUAUCAGCCGUGCUCCCGGUUAUGAGCGACCUGGACUCCUCACAUGAUAAUUGAACUUGAAGAUGGAAUUAAAUUGAGAUCCGAUGAUCUGCCAAUAAUUUGCUUAAGUGGUUUCACUUAAGUGUUUUUGUUAUAUUCAUGUUCUUUUGUUUUAAUGGGAUAUAUGGGAUUCACACUUAUUAGUAAGACAGGUGAUGUUAAUAAAAUGUUGACCAACUAAAAUGCUUACUGCUCAAACUUAGCCUCACCUUGUUUUACCUGCAUUAGUUUUUCCCCCACUUGCUGAGCCCCGACCAUAAGUGAGCUCACCCUUGCUAAUAUUUUGAUCAGAGGGUGAUGCUGGAGACUUUGAUGGAGAUUUUAUCGACGACGAUGAUUUCUAAGUCUAACGAUGCGCCGGUCAUCUUCCUGUGGGAGAUUGCCCAGUUGUGUAUUUCCGCUUUACUUUGAUGUGAUACUUGUUAAAGAUACAAUGUUUCAGAUGAUGUAAUAAAGUAUUAUACUCUCUUUACGCCUUUAUUGCAUUGUCUUUUGAUAUAUUACACUUGUGACGUCAACAUAUGUGUGGAAAUGGAUCCUGGCACACAUAUGGUAUGCGCUCGGUUCUACCCCCUGGAACCGGGUGUGACAUACGGGUGCAUAGGUUUCACCGAAAUCCAAACCUUCGACUUGUGAAUAUCCCUUGGCCACAAGUCGGGCUUUGUUCCUUGUCACCACACCAUGCUCAUCUUGCUUGUUGUGGAAGACCCACUUGGUUCCUACAACAUUUUGAUUAGGACGUGGAACUAAAUGACAUACCUCAUUCCUCGUGAAGUUGUUGAGUUCCUCUUGCAUUGCCAACACCCAAUCCGAAUCCCUCAAUGUGUCUUCUACCCUGUAUGGCUCAAUAGAAGACACAAAGGAGUAAUGUUCACAAAAAUGAGCAACACGAGAUCGAGUGGUUACCCCCUUAUGAAUGUCGCCGAGGAUGGAGUUCACGGGGUGAUCUCAUUGUAUUGCUUGGUGGACUCUUGGGUGAGUCGGUCUUGGACCAUCAUCAUCUUCCUUGUCUUGAUCAUUAGCAUCUCCCCCUUGAUCAUUGUCCUCCUCUUGAGGUGGCUCCUCUUGAUCUUCAUUUUCAUCAUCUUGAGCUUGAUCCUCAUCUUGAGUUGGUGGAGAUGCUUGCAUGGAGGAAGAUGGUUGAUCUUGUGCUUGUGGAGGCUCUUCGGAUUCCUUAGGACAUACAUCCCCAAUGGACAUGUUCCUUAGCGCGACGCAUGGAGCCUCUUCAUCAUCUAGCUCAUCAAGAUCAACUUGCUCUACUUGAGAGCCGUUAGUCUCAUCAAACACAAUGUCACAAGAAACUUCAACUAGUCCAGUGGACUUGUUAAAGACUCUAUAUGCCCUUGUGUUUGAAUCAUAUCCUAGUAAAAAGCCUUCUACAGCCUUAGGAGCAAAUUUAGAUUUUCUACCUCUUUUAACAAGAAUAAAGCAUUUGCUACCAAAGACUCUAAAAUAUGAAACAUUGGGCUUUUUACCGGUUAGGAGUUCAUAUGAUGUCUUCUUGAGAAUUCGGUGAAGGUAGAGACGGUUGAUGGCGUAGCAAGCGGUGUUGAUUGCUUCCGCCCAAAACCGGUCUGAAGUUUUGUAUUCAUCAAGCAUGGUCCUCGCUAUGUCAAGUAGAGUUCUAUUCUUCCUCUCCACUACACCAUUUUGUUGUGGCGUGUAAGGAGAAGAGAACUCAUGCUUGAUGCCCUCAUCCUCAAGGAAGCCUUCUAUUUGUGAGUUCUUGAACUUCGUCCCGUUGUCGCUUCUAAUCUUUUUGAUCCUUAAGCCGAACUCAUCUUGAGCCCGUCUCAAGAAUCCCUUUAAGGUCUCUUCGGUUUGAGCUUUAUCCUGCAAAAAGAACACCCAAGUGAAGCGAGAAUAAUCAUCCACAAUAACUAGACAGUACUUACUCCCGCCGAUGCUUAUGUAAGCUAUCGGGCCGAAUAGGUCCAUGUGGAGUAGCUCAAGCGGCCUAUCGGUCGUCAUGAUGUUCUUGUGUGGAUGAUGAACACCAACUUGCUUUCCUGCUUGAUAUGCGCUACAAACCCUGUCUUUCUCAAAAUGAACAUUGGUUAGUCCUAAAAUGUGCUCUCCCUUUAGAAGCUUAUGAAGAUUCUUCAUCCCAACAUGGGCUAGAAGACGGUGCCAGAGCCAACCCAAGUUAGACUUAGCAAUUAAGCAAGUGUCAAGUUCAGCUCUAUUAAAAUCAACUAAGUAUAGCUGACCCUCUAACACUCCCUUAAAUGCUACUGAAUCAUCACUUCUUCUAAAGACAGUAACACCUAUAUCCGUAAAAAGACAGUUGUAGCCCAUUUUACAUAAUUGAGAAACGGAAAGCAAAUUGUAAUCUAAAGAAUCUACAAGAAAAACAUUUGAAAUAGAAUGGUCAGGUGAUAUAGCAAUUUUACCAAGUCCUUUGACCAAACCUUGAUUUCCAUCCCCGAAUGUGAUAGCUCUUUGAGGAUCAUGGUUUUUCUCGUAGGAGGAGAACAUUCUUUUCUCCCCAGUCAUGUGGUUUGUGCACCCGCUAUCAAUUAUCCAACUUGAGCCCCCGGAUGCAUAAACCUACAAAACAAGUUUAGGCCUUGUUCUUAGGUACCCAAACGGUCUUGGGUCCUUUGAUAUUAGAAACAAGCACCUUGGGUACCCAAACACAAGUCUUUGACCCCUUGUGUUUGCCCCCAACAUAUUUGACAACUACUUUGCCUGAUUUAUUAGUUAAAACAUAUGAUGCAUCAAAAGUCUUAAAUGAAAUGUUGGGUUCAUUUGAUGCAAUAGGAGUUUUCUUCCUAGACAAUUUAGCAUGGGUUGAUUGCCUAGAACUAGAUGCCUCACUCUUAUACAUAAAAGCAUGAUGAGAGCCAGAGUGAGACUUCCUAGAGUGAAUUCUCCUAAUUUUGUGCUCGGAAUAACCGACAGGGUAUAAAAUGUAACCCUCGUUAUCCUGAGGCAUGGGAGCCUUGCCCUUAACAAAAUUAGAUAAUCUUUUAGGAGGGGCAUUAAGCUUGACAUUGUUUCCCUGUUGGAAGCCGAUGCCAUCCUUAAUGCCAGGGCGUCUCCCACUAUAGAGCAUGCUUCUAGCAAAUUUAAAUUUUUCAUUUUCUAAGUUAUGCUCAUUGAUUUUAGCAGUUAAUGUAGCUAUAUGAUCAUUUUGUUGUUUGAUUAAAGCAAGGUGAUCAUGAAUAGCAUCUACAUUAACAUCUCUACAUCUAGUGCAAAUAGAAACAUGCUCAACGGUAGAUGUAGAGGGUUUGCAAUCUUUUAGUUCAACAAUCUUAGCAUGUAAAAUAGCAUUCUCAUCUCUAAGAUUGGAAAUAUCAUCAUUGCAAACAUUUAAAUCUUUAGCCUUAGCAAUUAAUUUUUCAUUUUCAAUCUUAAGGCUAGAAAGAGAUACAUUCAAUUUGUCAAUCUUAGCAAUUAAACUAGCAUUAUCAUUUCUAAGAUUAACAAUUGAAUCAUCACAAACAUUUGAUUUCUCAACCUUAGCAAUUAAUUUGGCAUUUUCAUUUCUAAGGCUAGAAAUAGUGUCAUGGCAAGUGCUUAGCUCACUAGUUAAUUUUUCACAUUUUUCUACCUCUAGAGCAUAAGUAUUUUUAACCUUAACAUGCCUUUUGUUUUCCUUAAUAAGGAAGUACUCUUGGCUAUCCAAGAGUUCAUCCUUCUCAUGAAUAGCACUAAUCAAUUCAUUCAAUUUCUCUUUUUGUUGCAUGUUAAGAUUGGCAAAAAGAGUAAGCAAGUUAUCCUCAUCAUCACUAGAAUUAUCCUCAUCACUAGAGGUUGCAUACUUAGUGGAGGAUUUUGAUUUUACCUUCUUCUUCUUGUCGUCCUUUGCCAUGAGGCACUUGUGGCCGACGUUGGGGAAAAGAAGACCCUUGGUGACGACGAUGUUUGCGGCGUCCUCGUCGGAGGAGGAGUCAGUGGAGCUCUCGUCGGAGUCCCAUUCCCGGCAAACAUGGGCGUCGCCGCCCUUCUUGUAGUACCUCUUCUUCUCCUUCUUCUUCUUCUUCCCCCUCUUGUCGUCGCCCCUGUCACUAGAAAUAGGACAUUUUGCUAUAAAGUGACCGGGCUUACCACACUUGUAGCAUACCUUCUUGGAACGGGGCUUGUAAUCUCUCCCCUUUCUUUGCUUGAGGAUUUGGCGAAAGCUUUUGAUGAUUAAAGCCAUCUCCUCGUUGUCGAGCUUGGAGGCGUCGAUAGGAAGCCUACUUGGUGUAGACUCUUCCUUCUUCUCCUCCGUCGCUUUGAAGGCGACGGGUUGCACCUCGGGUGUGGAGGUGGCGCCUCGCUCGAUGAUUUGUUUGGAGCCUUUGAUCAUUAGUUCAAAGCUCACAAAAUUUCCUAUCACUUCCUCAGGAGACAUUAGUUUAUAUCUUGGAUCACCAUGAAUUAAUUGAACUUGAGUAGGAUAAAGAAAUACGAGUGAUCUAAGAAUAACCUUGAUCAUUUCAUGGUCAUCCCAUUUGGUGCUCCCGAGGUUGCGCACUUUGUUCACCAAGGUUUUGAGCCGGUUGUACAUCGCUUGUGGCUCCUCCCCUUGGUGAAGCAUGAAUCGACCGAGCUCCCCCUCAAUCGUUUCCCUCUUGGUGAUCUUGGUCACCUCGUCUCCUUCGUGCGCGGUCUUGAGCACGUCCCAAAUCUCCUUUGCACUCUUCAACCCUUGCACCUUAUUAUACUCCUCUCGACUUAGAGAGGCGAGAAGUAUAGUGGUGGCUUGGGAGUUGAAGUGUUGGAUUUGUUCGACCUCCUCCGAAUCAUAAUCCUUGUCCCCCUUCUUCGGUACCUGCGCUCCAUACUCAACAAUAUCCCAUAUACUUUUGUGGAGUGAGGUUAGAUGAUGCCUCAUUUUAUCACUCCACAUUGAAUAAUCUUCACCUUCAAACAUAGGUGGUUUGCCUAAUGGGACGGAAAGUAAUGGAGUGCGUUUUGAAAUGCGAGGAUAGCGAAGGGGCAUCUUACUAUACUUCUUGCUCUCAUGGUGCUUAGAAGUGGCGGAUGCCGAUUCCGAGCCGGAGGUGGAGGGUGACGAAGAGUCGGUCUCGUAGUAGACCACCUUCUUCAUUUUGUUCUUCUUGUCACCCUUCUGUUGGGACUUGAUGGAGGAAGAGGAUUCCUCCUUGUGCUUGUGGGCGAACUCCUUUGAGUGCGUUCUCCCCGAGCUUGUGGACUUGUCGCCGGUCCCGAUGUCCCUCAUGGCGGAUGCUCCCGACAUCACUUCGAGCGGUUAGGCUCUAAUGAAGUAUCGGUUUUGAUACCAAUUGAAAGUCGCCUAGAGGGGGGGUGAAUAGGCAAAUCUGAAAUUUAUAAAGUUUAAGCACAACUAUAAGCUGGGGUUAGCGUUAGAAAUAUAAACGAGUCCAAAAGAGAGGGCGAAAACAAAUCAUGAGCAAAUAAGAGCGGAUGACAUGGUGAUUUGUUUUACCAAGGUUCGGUUCUUGCAAACCUACUCCCCGUUGAGGUGGUCACAAAGACCGGGUCUCUUUCAACCCUUUCCCUCUCUCAAACGGUCACUUAGACCGAGUGAGCUUCUCUUCUCAAUUAAACGGGACACUAAGUUCCCACAAGGACCACCACACAAUUGGUGUCUCUUGCCUUGAUUACAAUUGAGUUGGAAACAAGAAAGAAGGAAGAAGAAAAGCAAUCCAAGGGCAAUAGCUCAAAUGAACACAAAUGUCUCUCUCUCUCUCUCUAGUCACUAAUUUGUUUGGAGUGGUUCCAGACUUGGGAGAGGAUUUGAUCUCUUUGAUUGUGUCUUUGAAUGAAGUCUAGAGCUCUUGUAUGAUGUUUGAUGGCUGAAAACUUGGAUGCAUUGAAGUGUGGUGGUUGGGGGGUAUUUAUAGCCCCAACCACCAAAAGAACCGUUGGUGAGGGCUGCUGUCGUAUGGCGCACCGGACAGUCCGGUGCGCCACCGGACACUGUCAGGUGUGCCAGCCGCGUCACCAGGCCGUUGGGUUCCGACCGUUGGAGCUUCUGACAACUGGGCCACCGGACAGUCCGGUGGUGCACCGGACAGUCACUGUUCACUGUCUGGUGCGCCUUCUGACGCCUGCUCUGACUUCUGCGCGCGCAGUGAACACUGUUCACUGUUCCUGUAUCAUUGCAGACGACCGUUGGCGCUUGGAGCCGUUGCUCCGCUUGGUACACCGGACAGUCCAGUGCUACACCGGACAGUCUAGUGAAUUAUAGCGGAGCGGCCUCCCGAAUUCCCGAAGGUGGCAAGUUCGGAGUGGAACUCCCUGGUGCACCGGACACUGUUCGGUGGUGCACCGGACAGUCCGGUGCGCUAGACCAGGGGCUGCCUUUGGGUUGUCUUUUGCUCUCUUUAUUUGAACCCUUUCUUGGUUUUUUUAUUGGUUUGUUGUGAACCUUUGACACCUGUAAAACUUAUAAUCUAGAGCAAACUAGUUAGUCCAAUUAUUUGUGUUGGGCAAUUCAACCACCAAAAUCAAUUAGGAAAAGGUGUAAGCCUAUUUCCCUUUCAUCCAUGUACUCUCAGCCAGCUCCGUCACUAAACCCUACGCCCACCACAGCCACCACUCUAUGCUCUUCCUCAUACCGGGGCGCCAGCAACACAAGGAGUGCCCAUACAAAUGCUAUCCAUGCCGGUGUCACCAUCACCGAUCCCAUCGUAUGCGAUGGCAUCCAUGGGCACGCCGCAGUACACAAUGACGACGUCCCCGACACCUCUGGGAGCGGCCGGCGUGCCGUUGCCAGCGACGUUUCACCAACCUUACGGCACCGGCGCCAACUUCGGAGGCGUUGACGUCCUUGGACCCUACGGCUCGGUCCAGGGUGGCUGGGGACAAUUUGAGGGGGCCAUUGAAAGGGAAAUAGGCUUACACCUUUUCCUAAUUGAUUUUGGUGGUUGAAUUGCCCAACACAAAUAAUUGGACUAACUAGUUUGCUCUAGAUUAUAAGUUUUACAGGUGCCAAAGGUUCACAACAAACCAAUAAAAAGACCAAUAAAGGGUUCAAACAAAGAGAGCAAAAGACAACCGAAGUGUGCCCUGGUCUGGCGCACCGGACUGUCCGGUGUGCCAUGCGACAGAAGCCCUCACCAACGGUUCUUUUGGUGGUUGGGGCUAUAAAUACCCCCAACCAUGCACCAUUCAUUGCAUCCAAGUUUUCACCCUUCAAACACCUUACAAGAGCUAUAGCAUUCAAUACAAGACACAAUCAAAGAGAUCAAAUCCUCUCCCAAGUCCAAAGAUCAUUUCAAUCAAAUAGUGACUCGUGAGAGAGAGACUUGUGUUCAUUUGAGCUCUUGCGCUUGGAUUGCUUUUCUUCUUCCUUCUUUCUUGUGCUCAACUCAAUUGUAACCAAGGCAAGAGACACCAAUUGUGUGGUGGUCCUUGUGGGGACUUAGUGUCCCGUUUGAUUGAGAAGAAAAGCUCACUCGGUCUAAGUGACCGUUUGAGAGAGGGAAAGGGUUGAAAGAGACCCGGUCUUUAUGACCACCUCAAUGGAGAGUAGGUUUGCAAGAACCGAACCCCGGUAAAACAAAUCACCGUGUCACACUCUUUAUUUGCUUGUGAUUUGUCUUUGCCCUCUCUUUCGGACUCGUUUAUAUUUCUAACGCUAACCCCGACUUGUAGUUGUGCUUAAAGUUUGUAAAUUUCAGAUUCGCCCUAUUCAACCCCUCUCUAAGCGACUUUCAAUUGGUAUCGGAGCCCGGUGCUUCAUUAGAGCCUAACCGCUCGAAGUGAUGUCGGGAGCAUCCGCCAAGAGGGAGAUCGGGACCGGCGACAAGUCCGCAAGCUCGGGGAGAACGCACUCAAGGGAGUCCUCCCACAAGCACAAGGAGGAAUCCUCUUCCUCCAUCAAGUCUCAACGGAAGGGUGACAAGAAGAAGAAGAUGAAGAAGGUGGUCUACUACGAGACCGACUCUUCGUCACCCUCCACCUCCGGCUCAGAAUCGGCAUUCGCCACUUCUAAGCGCCAUGAGCGCAAGAAGUAUAGUAAGAUGCCCCUUUGCUAUCCUCGCAUUUCAAAACGCACUCCAUUACUUUCCGUCCCAUUAGGCAAACCACCUAUGUUUGAUGGUGAAGAUUAUUCUAUGUGGAGUGAUAAAAUGAGGCAUCACCUAACCUCACUCCACAAAAGUAUAUGGGAUAUUGUUGAGUAUGGAGCGCAGGUACCAAAGGAAGGGGACAAGUAUUAUGAUUCGGAGGAGGUCGAACAAUUCCAACACUUCAACUCCCAAGCCACUACUAUACUCCUCGCCUUUCUAAGUCGAGAGGAGUAUAAUAAGGCAAGGGUUGAAGAGCGCAAAGGAGAUUUGGGAUGUGCUCAAGACCGCACACGAAGGAGACGAGGUGACCAAGAUCACCAAGAGGGAGACGAUCGAGGGGGAGCUCGGUCGGUUCAUGCUUCACCAAGGGGAGGAGCCACAAGCAAUGUACAACCGGCUCAAAACCUUGGUGAACCAAGUGCGCAACCUCGGGAGCACCAAAUGGGAUGACCAUGAGAUGGUCAAGGUUAUUCUAAGAUCACUUGUAUUUCUUAAUCCCACUCAAGUUCAAUUAAUUCAUGGUGAUCCUAGAUACAAGUUAAUGUCUCCCGAGGAAGUUAUAGGAAAAUUUGUGAGCUUUGAAUUGAUGAUCAAAGGCUCCAAGAAAAUCAUCGAGCAAGGCUCCUCCUCCACACCCGAUGUGCAACCCGUAGCAUUCAAGGCAACAAAGGAGAAGAAAGAAGACUCUACACCGAGUAGAGUCCCCAUCGACGCCUCCAAGCUCAAAAAUGAGGAGAUGACGCUCAUCAUCAAGAGCUUCCACCAAAUCCUCAAGCAAAGGAGGGGGAAGGACUACAAGCCCCGCUCCAAGAAAGUUUGCUACAAGUGUGGUAAGCCCGGUCAUUUUAUUGCAAAAUGUCCAUUAUCUAUUAAUAGUGACAGGGGCGACGACAAGAAGGGAAAGAGAAGAGAAAAUAAGAGGACUUCCUAAUUAAAGAAAACAAAAAGCAUGUUAAAGUUAAAAAUGAUUAUGCUCUAGAGGUAGAAAAAUGUGAAAAGUUAACUAGUGAGCUAAGCACUGGCCAUGACACUAUCUCAAACCUUAGAAAUGAACAUGCUAGAUUAAUUGCUAAGGUUGAGAGUUCAAAUGUAUGUGAUGAUUCAAUUACCAAUCUUAGAGAUGAUAAUGCUAGUUUAAUUGGUAAGAUUGAUAAAUUAAAUGCCUCUCUUGUUAGCCUUAAGAUUGAGAAUGAAAAAUUGAUUACUAAGGUAAAAAAUUAGAUAUUUGCAAUAUUUCCAUUUCUAAACUUAGAGAUGAAAAAUAAUAUUUUACAUGCUAAGAUUGUUGAGUUAAAAACUUGCAAACCCUCUACAUCUACCGUUGAGCAUGUUACUAUUUGCACUAGAUGUAGAGAUAUUAACAUUGAUGCUAUUCAUGAUCACAUGGCUAUGAUUAAACAACAAAAUGAUCAUAUAGCUAAACUAGAUGCUAAAAUUGCCGAGCAUGACUUAGAAAAUGAAAAAUUUAAAUUUGCUAGAAGCAUGCUCUAUAGUGGGAGACGCCCUGGCAUUAAGGAUGGCAUUGGCUUCCAAUAGGGAGGCAAUGUCAAACUUAAUGCCCCUCCUAAAAGAUUGUCAAACUUUGUUAAGGGCAAGGCUCCCAUGCCUCAGGAUAACGAGGGCUACAUUUUGUACCUUGUCGGUUAUCCCGAGCACAAAAUUAGGAGAAUUCACUCUAGAAAGUCCCACCCUGGCUCUAAUCAUGCUUUUAUGUAUAAGAGUGAGGCAUCUAGUUCUAGGCAAUCAACCCGUGCUAAAUUGCCUAAGAAGAAAACUCCUAUUGCAUCAAAUGAACCUAAUAUUUCAUUUAAGACUUUUGAUGCAUCUUAUGUGCUAACUAACAAAUCAGGCAAAGUAGUUGCCAAAUAUGUUGGGGGCAAACACAAGGGGCCAAAGACUUGUGUUUGGGUACCCAAGGUGCUUGUUUCUAAUGUCAAAGGACCCAAGACCGUUUGGGUACCUAAGAACAAGGCCUAAAAUUGUUUUGUAGGUUUAUGCAUCCGAGGGCUCAAGUUGGAUCAUCGAUAGCGGGUGCACAAACCACAUGACAGGGGAGAAGAAGAUGUUCUCCUCCUAUGAGAAAAACCAAGAUCCCCAAAGAGCGAUCACAUUCGGGGAUGGAAAUCAAGGUUUGGUUAAAGGAUUGGGUAAAAUUGCUAUAUCUCCUGACAUUCUAUUUCCAAUGUUUUUCUUGUAGAUUCUUUAGAUUACAAUUUGCUUUCUGUUUCUCAAUUAUGCAAAAUGGGCUACAACUGUCUUUUUACGGAUAUAGGUGUUACUAUCUUUAGAAGAAGUGAUGAUUCAGUAGCAUUUAAGGGAGUGUUAGAGGGUCAGCUAUACUUAGUAGAUUUUGAUAGAGCUGAACUCGACACUUGCUUAAUUGCUAAGACUAACAUGGGUUGGCUCUGGCACCGCCGACUAGCUCAUGUUGGGAUGAAGAAUCUUCAUAAGCUUCUAAAGGGAGAGCACAAUUUGGGACUAACCAAUGUUCAUUUUGAGAAAGACAGGGUUUGUAGCGCAUGCCAAGCAGGGAAGCAAGUUGGUGUUCAUCAUCCACACAAGAACAUCAUGACGACCGGCAGGCCGCUCGAGCUACUCCACAUGGACCUAUUCGGCUCGAUUGCUUACAUAAGCAUCAACGGGAGUAAGUAUUGUCUUGUAAUUGUGGAUGAUUAUUCUCGCUUCACUUGGGUGUUCUUUUUGCAGGAAAAAUCACAAACCCAAGAGACAUUAAAGGGAUUCUUGAGACGGGCUCAAAAUGAGUUCGGCUUAAGGAUCAAAAAGAUUAGAAGCGACAACGGGACGGAGUUCAAGAACUCAAAAAUCAAAAGCUUUCUUGAGGAGGAGGGUAUCAAGCAUGAGUUCUCUUCUCCCUACACGCCACAACAAAAUGGUGUAGUGGAAAGGAAGAAUAGAACUCUAUUGGACAUGGCAAGAACCAUGCUUGAUGAGUACAAGACUUCGGAUCGGUUUUGGGCCGAGGCUGUUAACACCGCUUGCUACGCCAUCAACCGGUUAUAUCUUCACCGAAUUCUCAAGAAGACAUCGUAUGAACUCCUCACCGGUAAAAAGCCCAAUGUUUCAUAUUUUAGAGUCUUUGGUAGCAAAUGCUUUAUACUUGUUAAAAGAGGUAGAAAAUCUAAAUUUGCUCCUAAGGCUGUAGAAGGAUUUUUACUAGGAUAUGAUUCAAACACAAGGGCAUAUAGAGUCUUUAACAAGUCCACUGGACUAGUUGAAGUUUCUUGUGACAUUGUGUUUGAUGAGACUAACGGCUCUCAAGUAGAACAAGUUGAUCUUGAUGAGCUAGAUGAUGAAGAGGCUCCGUGCGUCGCGCUAAGGAACAUAUCCAUUGGGGAUGUGUGUCCUAAGGAAUCCGAAGAGCCUCCACAACCACAAGAUCAACCAUCUUCCUCAAUGCAAGCAUCUCCACCAACUCAAGAUGAGGAUCAAGCUCAAGAUGAUGAUGAUCAAGAGGAGCUACCUCAAGAGGAGGACAAUGAUCAAGGGGGGAUGCUAAUGAUCAAGACAAGGAAGAUGAUGAAGAUCCAAGACCGCCACACCCAAGAGUCCACCAAGCAAUUCAACGAGAUCACCCCGUGAACACCAUCCUCGGCGACAUUCAUAAGGGGGAACUACUCAAUCUCGUGUUGCUCAUUUUUGUGAACAUUACUCCUUUGUUUCCUCUAUUGAGCCACACAGGAUAGAGGAAGCACUUCAAGAUUCGGAUUGGGUGCUGGCGAUGCAAGAGGAGCUCAACAACUUCACAAGGAAUGAGGUAUGGCAUUUAGUUCCACGUCCUAUCCAAAAUGUUGUAGGAACCAAGUGGGUCUUCCGUAACAAGCAAGAUGAGCAUGGUGUAGUGACAAGGAACAAAGCCCGACUUGUGGCCAAGGGAUAUUCACAAGUCGAAGGUUUGGAUUUCGGUGAAACCUAUGCACCCGUAGCUAGGCUUGAGUCAAUUCGCAUUUUACUUGCCUAUGCUACUUACCAUGGCUUCAAGCUUUAUCAAAUGGAUGUGAAAAGUGCCUUCCUCAACGGACCAAUCAAAGAGGAGGUCUACGUUGAGCAACCUCCCGGCUUUGAAGAUAGUGAGUAUCCUAGUCAUGUCUAUAAACUCUCUAAGGCGCUUUAUGGGCUCAAGCAAGCCCCAAGAGCAUGGUAUGAAUGCCUAAGAGAUUUUCUUAUCGCUAAUGGCUUCAAAGUCGGAAAAGCCGAUCCUACUCUCUUUACUAAAACACUUGCAGAUGAUUUGUUUGUAUGCCAAAUUUAUGUUGAUGAUAUCAUAUUUGGGUCUACUAACGAAUCUACAUGUGAAAAGUUUAGUAGGAUCAUGACUCAAAAAUUCGAGAUGUCUAUGAUGGGGGAGUCGAAGUAUUUCUUGGGAUUUCAAGUGAAGCAACUCCAAGAGGGCACCUUCGUUAGCCAAACAAAGUACAUUCAAGAUAUUCUUACCAAGUUUGGGAUGAAGGAUGCCAAGCCCAUCAAGACACCCAUGGGAACUAAUGGGCAUCUCGACCUUGACACGGGAGGUAAAUCCGUAGAUCAAAAGGUAUACCGGUCGAUGAUAGGUUCUUUACUCUAUUUAUGUGCUUGACCGGACAUUAUGCUUUAUGUAUGCAUGUGUGCAAGAUUCCAAGCCGAUCCUAAGGAAGUACACCUUAGGGCCGUAAAACGAAUCUUGAGAUAUCUAGUUUAUACUCCUAUGUUUGGCCUUUGGUGCCCCAGGGGAUCCACAUUUGAUUUAAUUGGUUAUUCUGAUGCUGAUUGGGCAGGGUGUAAAAUUAAUAGAAAUAGCACAUCAGGGACUUGCCAGUUCUUGGGAAGAUAUCUAGUGUCUUGGGCUUCAAAGAAGGAAAAUUCUGUCGCUCUUUCUACCGCCGAAGCCGAGUAUAUUGCCAUAGGCCAUUGUUGCGCGCAAUUGCUUUGGAUGAGGCAAACCCUUAGGGACUAUGGUUACAAAUUAACCAAGGUUCCUCUUCUAUGUGAUAAUGACAGUGCAAUCCGUAUGGCGGAUAAUCCCGUUGAGCAUAGCCGCACUAAACACAUAGCCAUUCGGUAUCACUUUUUAAGGGACCACCAACAAAAAGGGGAUAUCGAGAUUGCGUAUGUUAACACCAAAGAACAAUUAGCCGAUAUCUUUACCAAGCCAUUAGAUGAGCAAACUUUUACCAAACUUAGGCAUAAGCUAAAUAUUCUUGAUUCUAGGAAUUUCCGUUGAUGUUUUGCACACAUAGUCAUUUAUAUACUUUUGAUCAUAUCUCUUUCAUUUGCUAUGACUAAUGUGGUUUUCAAGUGUAUUUCAAGCUAAGUCAUAGAUUGAAAGGGAAAUGGAGUCUUCGGCGAAGACAAGGCUUCCACUCCACUCCAUCAAAUUAUUCAUCCUUCGCCGUCACUCCACUCUCCAACUUUGGUAUAAUCUUCACUCAUACAUUAUUUACCAUAGGGGGAGAAAGUAGUUAAUAGGGCUCUAAUGACUCCAUUUUUGGCGAUUCAUGCCAAAGGGGGAGAGAGUAUUAGCCCAAAGCAAAAGGACCGCACCACCACCAAUUUCAAAAUUUUAGUCUUUUAAUUUGUUUCUAAAGUAGUGUUUUCAAAUUGGUAUCUUAUUAUUUAUAUAAUUUCAAAUUGGUAUACCCUCUUCAAAAUCUAUAUCUAAAACCCUCUUGAACACUAAGAGGAGGAUUUCAUUAAGGGGGAGUUUUGUUUAGUCAAAGGAAAAGCAUUUGAAACAGGGGGAGAAAAUUUCAAAUCUUGAAAAUGCUUCUCAAAAUCCUAUUCAUUUACCUUCGACUACUUUGCAAAAGACUUUGAAAAGAAUUUCCAAAACAUUUGCAAAACAAAACAUGUGGUGCAAGCGUGGUCAAAAAUUUUAAACAAGAAGAAAGCCAUCCAUGCAUAUCUAAUAGAAAUAAUUAUUGGUUUCAUUCCAAGUAACCUUUGCACUUACAUUAUGCAAACUAAUUCAAUUCUGCACUUUUAUAUUUGCUUUGGUUUGUGUUGGCAUCAAUCACCAAAAAGGGGGAGAUUGAAAGGGAAAUAGGCUUAUAUCUUUUCCUAAUUGAUUUUGGUGGUUGAAUUGCCCAACACAAAUAAUUGGACUAACUAGUUUGCUCUAGAUUUAAAGUUUUACAGGUGCCAAAGGUUCACAACAAACCAAUAAAAAGACCAAGAAAAGGGUUCAAACAAAGAGAGCAAAAGACAAUUGAAGUGUGCCCUGGUCUGGCGCACCGGACUGUCCGGUGCACCAGGGAACUCAACUCCGAACUGCUCACCUUCGGGAAAUUCUGGGAGCCGCUCCGCUAUGAUUCACCGGACUAUCCGGUGUAGCACCGGACUGUCCGGUGUGCCAGCGGAGUAGGGCUGCUACAUCGCCAACGGUCGUCUGCAACUGCAGUUAAUGCGCUACAGUGUGCGCAGAAGUCAGAGCAGAGCCAGAAGGCGCACCGGACAGUGAACAAUUAUUGUCCGGUGCACCACCGGACUGUCCGGUGGCCCAGAUGUCAGAAGCUCCAACGGUCAGAAUCCAACGGCCGGGUGACGUGGCUGGCGCACCGGACAGUGUCUGGUGGCGCACCAGACUGUCCGGUGCGCCAUGCGACAGAAGCCCUCACCAACGGUUCUUUUGGUGGUUGGGGCUAUAAAUACCCCGAACCACCCACCAUUCAUUGCAUCCAAGUUUUCAGCCUUCAAACACCUUACAAGAGCUAUAACAUUCAAUACAAGACACAAUCAAAGAGAUCAAAUCCUCUCCCAAGUCCAAAGAUCAUUUCAAUCAAAUAGUGACUCGUGAGAGAGACUUGUGUUCAUUUGAGCUCUUGCGCUUGGAUUGCUUUUCUUCUUCCUUCUUUCUUGUGCUCAACUCAAUUGUAACCAAGGCAAGAGACACCAAUUGUGUGGUGGUCCUUGUGGGGACUUAGUGUCCCAUUUGAUUGAGAAGAAAAGCUCACUCGGUCUAAGUGACCGUUUGAGAGAGGGAAAGGGUUGAAAGAGACCCGGUCUUUGUGACCACCUCAAUGGGGAUUAGGUUUGCAAGAACCGAACCCCGGUAAAACAAAUCACCGUGUCACACUCUUUAUUUGCUUGUGAUUUGUCUUCGUCCUCUCUUUCGGACUCGUUUAUAUUUCUAACGCUAACCCCGGCUUGUAGUUGUGCUUAAAGUUUGUAAAUUUCAGAUUCGCCCUAUUCACCCCCCUCUAGGCGACUUUCAGCCAUGUCGCACGACACUGCGCCACCUCCACCAGGACAGGGACCAGGCCUCGAUCCCAGACACCCCGCUUCUACAAGCUCGAUUUUCCAACUUACGAUGGCACAGUCGACCCGCUCAAUUGGAUCAACCAAUGUGAGCAGUUCUUCCAAGGCCAACGCACCCCGGCCUCGGAUCAAACCUGGUUGGCGUCGUACCAUCUCACUGGGGCUGCCCAGACGUGGUACUACGCCCUCAAGCAAGACGAAGGCAUGCCAGCCUAGGGUCGUUUCUGCGAGCUCUGCACCCUACGUUUCGGGCCGGCGGUGCGCGGCACGAGGCUGUCGGAGCUUGCCCGGUUACCGUUCAUCUCUACAGUGCACGACUACGCCGAGCGCUUCAACGCGGUGCUGUGCCAUGCACACAACCUCUCGGCAUCCCAGAAGGCGGAGCUCUUUGUGGGAGGACUGCCCGACCACAUACGGAUCGACGUCAAGCUCCACGAACCCCAGAACCUGCAAAUAGCCAUGCACUUGGCACGGGCGUUCAAACGCCGUGCGGCUAGUCCAAGGGUGCUUCCUCCAGUACGUGGCGGGAGGAACUCGUCGCGACCACCAUCGUCCGGUCCACCCCGACAACCGCAAGGGCUACCUUCGUCGGGCUCGGUGCCAUCAACGGGUUCCUCUACACCGUCACGAUAGUUCCACCGGCUAACACCAGCGGAAUAGAUGGAACGUCGACGACAAGGAUUGUGUUACAAUUGUGAUGAACCCUAUGUCCGUGGCCACGUCUGCCAACGUCUCUUCUACCUGGAGUCGACAGACUAUGUUGAUGACGCAUUCCCACCGGAGGAUCACGCCGGGGCUUUCAACCACGGCGAGGCCGGACAUCCCGCGACCCCAGGGGCGGACACCGCGCAGGACUCCGAUCCUCCACCGACGGUAUCCCUUCACGCUAUUGUAGGGGUCCAGACCGAGCAGGCCAUGCGCCUGCCGGUGAUCAUUCACGGCCAUCGAUUGGUGGCGCUUCUCGACUCAGGAUCGACGACCAACUUCAUCAACGUUGACAUAAUGCACCGCCUGAAAUUAGCCACUCAUCCUCACCCCACGCUUUGGGUGAUGGUGGCUAACGGGGAACACGUGCCGUGUCAGGGCGUGGCACAGAACGUGGAGAUCGCCAUCAACGCCGAAGCAUUCCGCGUCAACUGUUACAACAUCAACCUCGGUGAGUUUGAUCUCAUCCUUGGCGUAGAGUUCCUCAGUACACUAGGACCUAUAAUGUAGAAUUUCAAGGACAUGUGCAUGUCCUUCACACGGGCUUCCCGGUCCGUGCGGUGGACUGGCUUGAGCUCGCGCAGGGGCCAGGCAACCACACCGACCGCCUGCGCCAUACCGUCCACACCCGGCCAGCCGCUCAUGGACCGCCUGCUCCAGCAAUUUGAGGUGGUGUUCACCGAACCUGCAGGGCUGCCUCCACUCCAGCCAUAUGACCACCGCAUCCAUCUUCUUCCGGGCACUCCUCCAGUCGCGGUUCGCCCCUACAGAUAUCCCCAGCUCCAGAAGGACGAACUGGAACGCCAGUGUGCGGCCAUGCUAUCCCAAGACAUCAUUCGGCCAAGCACCUCGCCAUUCUCUGCUCCGGUGCUCUUGGUCCGGAAACAUGACAAUUCAUGGCGCUUCUGCAUCGACUUCCAAGCCCUCUACGCCAAGACAUCCAAGGAUAAGUUUCCCAUUCCCGUCGUUGAGGAAUUGCUCGAUGAACUGCAUGGAGCUCGCUACUUCACUAAGCUCGACCUCCGGUCGGGCUACCACCAGGUGCGAAUGCACCCAGAUGACAUCGCCAAGACUGCUUUUCGCACACACCAGGGUCACUAUGAAUUCUUGGUGAUGCCUUUUGGCCUCUCCAACGCCCCAGCGACCUUCCAGGCACUAAUGAAUGAUGUGCUACGGCCCUACCUCCGUAGGUUCUUCCUGGUAUUCUUUAACAAUAUACUAAUCAACGGUGCCACAUGGGUCGAACACUUGCAGCACUUGGGCGUGGUCCUCAAUGCCUUCCGAGCACACCAUCUACAUGUUAAGCGCUCCAAAUGUUCAUUUGGGGAAAAUUUGUGGCGUACCUUGGCCAUGUGAUCUCCGCGGAGGGGGUGGCCAUGGACACAGCUAAGGUGGUAGCCAUCUCCACAUGGCCGACGCCGAGCUCAGCCAGGGGCCUACGCGGCUUCCUGGGCCUUGCGGGCUACUACCGCAAAUUCAUCCGCGACUUCGGCACGAUUGCAGCACCACUCACGCAUGUCCUGCAUCGAGACGCGUUCACGUGGGAUGAGGCAAUAGCAGCAUUCCAAGCGCUCAAGACCGCCCUCACCUCCGGACCUGUGCUCCAAAUGCCGGACUUCGACAAGUGCUUCACAGUCGACUAUGAUGCCUCUGGUGUGGGGUUCGGCGCCGUACUUCACCAAGGCGUGGGACCUCUCGCUUUCUUCAGUAGACCCUUUACACCACGCCACAUGAAACUCGCCGCGUAUGAGCGCGAGUUGAUUGGGUUGGUUCAAGCAGUGCGCCAUUGGCGAGCGUAUCUUUGGGGUCGCUAUUUUCGGGUAUGUACGGACCACUACAGUCUCAAGUUUCUACUCGAUCAAUGACUGUCCACCGUGCCACAGCAUCAGUGGCUCAGCAAACUCUUCGGUUUCGACUUCGACGUGGAGUACCGCCUGGGCCACCUCAAUACAGUGGCGGACGCACUGUCUCGCCGUGAUGAUGCGUGUCCAUCUUUGGCACUAAGUUCGGAGGGGGCCGCCUCGGUCCAUGCCCUCUCCGGGCCUUCCUUUGCCCUACUGGAGGAGAUCCGGAACGCGAUCAGCAACACAGACGCCGCACAACAUCUUUUCCAGCGCCUACAUGAGGGCACCCUUGAAGCGCCUUGGCGUUUGGAGGAUGGCCUCUUCCUCCACGGAUCUCGCAUCUUCGUGCCCGACCAUGGGAACUUGCGCCACCAGGUGCUCGCCUUGGCGCACUCAACAGGCCAUGAGGGUGUUCAGAAAACACUCCACCGUCUUCGUGCCGAGUUCUACAUCCCCAGUGAUCGCGCCUUGGUCCAAGACUGGGUACGUGCAUGCAACACGUGCCAGAAGAACAAGACCGAGACUCUGCACCCAGCCGGCCUUCUACAACCGCUCGACAUGCCGUCCCAAAUAUGGGCCGACAUUUCGAUGGACUUCAUCGAGGGGCUUCCCAAGGUGGGCGGCAAGGCCAUCAUCCUCACGGUGAUCGAUCGAUUCUCCAAAUACACGCACUUUAUUGCGCUGGGGCAUCCUUACAUAGCGUCGUCCGUCGCUCGCGCCUUCUUCGACGACGUUGUCCGGUUACACGAGUUUCCCUCCUCCAUCGUCAGCGAUAGGGAUCCCGUGUUCACCGGCCAUGUGUGGCGCGAUCUCUUCAAGUUAGCCGGUGUCAAGCUACGCUUAAGCAUGGCUUUCCACCCUCAGACGGAUGGCCAAUCAGAGGUGGUCAACAAGGUGAUAGCCAUGUAUCUUCGCUAUGUGACAGGUGACCGACCGCGCGCUUGGGUGGCGUGGUUGCCGUGGGCGGAAUAUUGCUACAACACAUCCUUCCACAUAGCAUUGCGGGCAACCCCCCUUCGAGGUGGUCUACGGUCGACCCCCUCCGGCCAUCUUGCCUUACAAGCUAGGGACAACACGGACAGAGACAACGAAUGCUCUCCUUCGCAGCCACGAUGAGGUCCUGGCGGAAGUUCGUCAGCGUCUUGUUCAAACACAACAGUUCUCCAAGAAGUAUUAUGAUGCCACACAUCGGGAGAUGGAGUUCAAGACCGGUGAUUGGGUUUGGUCGUGAUUGCUACAUCGCACCACCAAGUCCUUGGAUCCUCAUGCCAAGGGCAAAUUGGGUCCGCGCUAUGCGGGACCUUUCCAGGUGCUGGAGCGUAUCGGCAGCGUGGCGUACCGUCUACAGCUGACGGCGGGUGCUCAUAUCCAUUAUGUCUUCCACGUCGGCCUCCUGAAAGCCCACAAAGGAGAUCCGCCUGCCAUGCCGACGCCACUACCCCCAAUCUAGGAUGGGCGACUACUGCCAGUACCAGUGACGGCCCUCAAAGCACAGCUACGCCGUGACGUCUGGUAUAUUCUUAUUCAGUGGCAAGGGAUGACGCGCGAGGAAGCAACAUGGGAGAUAUUGGCUGACUUCAAAGACCUCUACCCUAAAUUCCAGCUCGAGGACGAGCUGUUUUCGCAGGCAGGGAGAGAUGUUAUGACUGACAUGCAGUACAAAAGGAAGCAAAGGGCUAGAGGGCAUGCAGAAGGAGAAAGAGAUCAAGGCUGGGACAGCCAGUAGUAAUUCAGUAAUUCUAGGAUCUAUCUCCUUUUGAAAAUUUCCUUUUAUUUAGAGAUAAACUUCCUUUUAUUCGGAGAGAUUAGUUUCCUUUUAUGAAGACAUAAGUUGCCUUCUAUUGAGAGAGAGGCUAGCAUAAAUAGGAGAUGUAAGACAGGAGGAAGGAUCAUCAAAGAAUUACCUAGCCGUCUUCCCUGUGGGAAGCUGGAACCUGAGUUGGUCUGUUUCCCCACGCCGUGAACACGACGUCCCGUCGUCCCUCUCGCCCAGUCCCUCGCCAACCACCAGCAGUACACCGGUAUAGCCUGAGGGAGAUCCCUGGUAGGAAUAGAAAUCCUAUCAA